GUCGAGCGGUAACAGAUCUAGCUUGCUACACGCUGACGAGCGGCGGACGGGUGAGUAAUGCAUAGGAAUCUGCCCGAUAGUGGGGGAUAACCUGGGGAAACCCAGGCUAAUACCGCAUACGUCCUACGGGAGAAAGGGGGCUUCGGCUCCCGCUAUUGGAUGAGCCUAUGUCGGAUUAGCUAGUUGGUAAGGUAAUGGCUUACCAAGGCAACGAUCCGUAGCUGGUCUGAGAGGAUGAUCAGCCACAUCGGGACUGAGACACGGCCCGAACUCCUACGGGAGGCAGCAGUGGGGAAUAUUGGACAAUGGGGGCAACCCUGAUCCAGCCAUGCCGCGUGUGUGAAGAAGGCCCUCGGGUUGUAAAGCACUUUCAGCGAGGAAGAACGCCUAUCGGUUAAUACCCGGUAGGAAAGACAUCACUCGCAGAAGAAGCACCGGCUAACUCCGUGCCAGCAGCCGCGGUAAUACGGAGGGUGCAAGCGUUAAUCGGAAUUACUGGGCGUAAAGCGCGCGUAGGUGGCUUGAUAAGCCGGUUGUGAAAGCCCCGGGCUCAACCUGGGAACGGCAUCCGGAACUGUCAGGCUAGAGUGCAGGAGAGGAAGGUAGAAUUCCCGGUGUAGCGGUGAAAUGCGUAGAGAUCGGGAGGAAUACCAGUGGCGAAGGCGGCCUUCUGGACUGACACUGACACUGAGGUGCGAAAGCGUGGGUAGCAAACAGGAUUAGAUACCCUGGUAGUCCACGCCGUAAACGAUGUCGACCAGCCGUUGGGUGCCUAGAGCACUUUGUGGCGAAGUUAACGC
rnacentral:rRNA from 2 species